rnacentral:rRNA from 1 species
CAAUAGCGUAUAUUAAAGUUGUUGCAGUUAAAAAGCUCGUAGUUGGAUUUCUGGUGGGAGCGAUCGGUCUGGCGCUUAGCGCGAGUACUUGCAUCGUCUCCGGCCAUCCUUGGGGAGAGUCUGUCUGGCAUUAGGUUGUCGGGCAGAGGAUCCUCAUCGUUUACUGUGAAAAAAUUAGAGUGUUCAAAGCAGGCUUAUGCCGUUGAAUAUAUUAGCAUGGAAUAAUAAGAUCGGACUUUGGUACUAUUUUGUUGGUUUGCGCACCAAAGUAAUGAUUAAUAGGGACAGUUGGGGGUAUUCGUAUUCCGUUGUCAGAGGUGAAAUUCUUGGAUUUACGGAAGACGAACUACUGCGAAAGCAUUUACCAAGGAUGUUUUCAUUAA